GCCAGAAAACAACAUGGCAUUAACACUGCAGGAGAAUGAUUAUCAACAGAAAGAACUGGAAAAUCAUGAAGAUCUGUAUACACCAUUAUCUGAAUCCCAAGAGACUGUAAAUAAAGGCAAUAGUGAAAACAGUCCCUCUAGGCGAUUUUCACUUCUCAACAAACUAAUAACUACAAAAACUUCACUCUCUUCAGUAACAUCUGAACAUGAUUAUGAGACAAUACAGAGGAGGAGCAGAGGAUCUUUACGGAAGGACUUAGAUGCUACUGAUGAAAAAGAUGUGUACAGAAAGCCAAGCAAGGAAUGUGAAGUGGG